UUUGUUCCCUAAAUAGGGACUUGUAUGAAUGGCCACACGAGGGCUUUACUGUCUCUUACUUCCGAUCCGUGAAAUUGACCUUCCCGUGAAGAGGCGGGAAUAUAACAAUAAGACGAGAAGACCCUAUGGAGCUUUAAUUAACCGACCCAAAGAGACCCCAUUUAUCCAACCGACAGGAACAACAAACCUCCACUAUGGGUCGACAAUUUAGGUUGGGGUGACCUCGGAGAAUAAAACAACCUCCGAGUGAUUUAAAUCAAGACUAACCAGUCAAAAGUAUUACAUCACUUAUUGAUCCAAAAACUUGAUCAACGGAACAAGUUACCCUAGGGAUAACAGCGCAAUCCUAUUUUAGAGUCCAUAUCGACAAUAGGG
rnacentral:rRNA from 1 species